AUGUACCACACGGGUAUACUCCGGUUCCUCACGCGCCGUCCGCACCCACCUGACGACUUUGUUAGCC
rnacentral:sRNA from 1 species